AAGAAAGCGAGGAGAGAUUAUUAGCAGUUUUAAGGAUCAAAAAUUCUGAAAACUAUAUUAUCGCUUUCAAGAAGUCGUCAAUCUUCAAAGGAAGGAGCUACAGUACUUUAAAGUCUCACUAUGUCUGACAAAUGCAUUGUUAAUGGUUGUAACACGUCGACUGACAUGGUUAAUGAAAGAGGCCCUUACUAUGACUGUGAAAUAAAACACAGAUUCUGUCAUAAGCAUCGCAAUUCAGAAGAUUGUCCAGCACCUAAACACAUUGGUCGUCAUUAUGCAAAUAAAAAUCCCCACUUGGAUAAUCCUUAGGGACAUUUAAACCCCCUUCUUUAAACUGCUAAUAUUUCUCUCCUCUAUCUGCCAAUAACAACUCAUGCAUGAUAAAAUAGUUAACUAACGUAUAUUGUAUUUCUAUCAUCUAUUCACACACAUGUACAUGUAGUCUUUAGAUAAAGUUUGUGAUGGUUGCAAAAAGAAGGCAACAGUUAAAAGAU